UAAUACGUAGGGAGCGAGCGUUGUCCGGAAUUACUGGGCGUAAAGGGCGCGUAGGCGGGGGUUUAAGUAAGGUGUGAAAACUCCGGGCUCAACCUGGAGACUGCACUUUAAACUGGAUCUCUUGAGGGCAGGAGAGGAAAGUGGAAUUCCUAGUGUAGCGGUGAAAUGCGUAGAUAUUAGGAGGAACACCAGUGGCGAAGGCGACUUUCUGGACUGUACCUGACGCUGAGGCGCGAAAGCGUGGGGAGCGAACAGG
rnacentral:rRNA from 1 species